UACGGAGGGUGCAAGCGUUAUCCGGAUUCACUGGGUUUAAAGGGUGCGUAGGAGGGCAGGUAAGUCAGUGGUGAAAUCUCCGUGCUUAACAUGGAACUGCCAUUGAUACUAUCUGUCUUGAAUAUUGUGGAGGUUAGCGGAAUAUGUCAUGUAGCGGUGAAAUGCUUAGAUAUGACAUACGAACACCAAUUGCGAAGGCAGCUGGCUACACAUAUAUUGGACUCUGAGGCACGAAAGCGUGGGGAUCAAACAGG
rnacentral:rRNA from 1 species